rnacentral:rRNA from 1 species
CUACGGGACGCAGCAGUGAGGAAUUUUGCGCAAUGGGGGAAACCCUGACGCAGCAACGCCGCGUGAGUGAUGAAGGCUUUCGGGUCGUAAAGCUCUGUCGAGUGGGAAGAAAAAGUCAGACAACAACAUUGUCUGGAACUGACGGUACCACUGAAGGAAGCACCGGCUAACUCCGUGCCAGCAGCCGCGGUAAUACGGGGGGUGGCAAGCGUUAUUCGGAAUCAUUGGGCGUAAAGAGCGCGUAGGCGGCCCAAUAAGUCAGAUGUGAAAGCCCGGGGCUUAACCCCGGAAGUGCAUUUGAAACUAUUGGACUUGAGUAUGGGAGAGGGAAGUGGAAUUCCUGGUGUAGAGGUGAAAUUCGUAGAUAUCAGGAGGAACACCGGUGGCGAAGGCGACUUCCUGGACCAAUACUGACGCUGAGGCGCGAAGGCGUGGGGAGCAAACAGGAUUAGAUACCCCGGUAGUC